AGUGAACGCUGGCGGUAGGCCUAACACAUGCAAGUCGAACGGCAGCACAGUAGGAGCUUGCUCUUACGGGUGGCGAGUGGCGGACGGGUGAGGAAUACAUCGGAAUCUACUUUUUGGUGGGGGAUAACGUAGGGAAACUUACGCUAAUACCGCAUACGACCUACGGGUGAAAGCAGGGGAUCUUCGGACCUUGCGCGAUUGAAUGAGCCGAUGUCGGAUUAGCUAGUUGGCGGGGUAAAGGCCCACCAAGGCGACGAUCCGUAGCUGGUCUGAGAGGAUGAUCAGCCACACUGGAACUGAGACACGGUCCAGACUCCUACGGGAGGCAGCAGUGGGGAAUAUUGGACAAUGGGCGCAAGCCUGAUCCAGCCAUACCGCGUGGGUGAAGAAGGCCUUCGGGUUGUAAAGCCCUUUUGUUGGGAAAGAAAAGCAGCAGGUUAAUACCCCGCUGUUCUGACGGUACCCAAAGAAUAAGCACCGGCUAACUUCGUG
rnacentral:rRNA from 1 species